GUACAUAUUACCUUGACUAACCUGUACCCCCCUGUAUAUAGCAUUGUUAUUGUUAUUUUAUUGUGUUACUUUUUAAAAUUUGAUUUGAUUUAUUUUGUGCAAAUAUUUUCUUACUUAAAAAUAAAUUCUGCAUCGUUGGUUAAGGGCUUCUAAGUAAGGAUUUCACGGUAAUGUCUACUACACCUGUUGUAUUCGGCGCAUAUGACAAAUACAAUUGGAUUUGAUUUCUAUUGGGUACAAAAUUAUCUGUAAAACAACCAAAACAAAAUGCAAAUGCAUCCAACAAGUAGAGUCACACGUUUGAUGAAGGUAGGAAUAUCGCACAAAUAUGAUGAAUGGUUCAUUUGAUAGAAGACAACCUAUCUUGACAUUGUCAAGUCUUGAAAUCUGGCACGAAUCCCAGACUUGUUUUGUGAUCAAAAAGUCGUAUUUCUCUUAAUUUCCAAUGUAGUGAGAGGGGUUUUAUCGCAAUGGUACAUCAUACCGGCCAAAUUUCUACCUUCUUGAACGGCAAUAGCUCCUAUACCCAUGAAAACCCCUUACCCCUGGUAUCAAUAGAGCAUCGCUCACACAAAAACAAUAUAACGUUCAAAAUGGAUGAAUCUUUCCUGUAAAGUUUCCAGUCUGUAAUUUAACCUCCUAGUCAUUGUAUCAGUUCAAACUCAAAGUGCUGGAGUACAGAGCCAAAAGCACAACCAAACAUGUUCCCUGUCCAAAUACCUUUGGACCUCACUAUAAGCAGGCAACAGUGUGUGAAUCAUGUUGGACAUAUUGGAAUCAGAAUCAAAUAGAUUUACACCAAAACAGUCUUUAUGGGCAGCAGUGUUUUACAUGAUUCUAAACAAAUGAUCUAAUUUACUCAAUUCAUACAUUAACCACCAUCAAAUGAUAUUAUUGCACCUAUAUUGGAUUUUGGACACCAUAUUGGAUUUGAGGUCAAAUCUAGGGUGCCCCCCAAAAUAAUCUGUGGUUUAAUUACAUGAGUAGGGGCAUAAGAUACAAAAUCCUUCAAGGAACCUUGGACCCAAAAUGUUUAAUUUUGAUGUCUAAGCCCACUUGUUGUCUUUAGAGCUGAUUACAAUAGCCACAACAACAACAACAACGUGUAACUAUGUAUUUUUAUCAGGCAGGACCAAACAGGGCUGAAUGAGAGCAAUGACUUGGGAAGUUGUCUAUUAUUCAGCUACCAAAAAGUAUACAUUCGUCAUAAAUAUUAAUAGUUGAUAUUUCCACCUAUUGUAUCUCUGUGUUUACAGGUCUAUAUUUCCAAGAUACAUUAAGAUAUCCUGAUGCUGUUUGCCUGUGUAUGUGGGGCAGACCGCAAAUAUUGGGUUACAUAUGGUUAUGUGGGAAUGCCACUUCCAGCCAGGCAUUAUUGUGCACUUUUCUUAGUUUAGGGCGUUUGUCACAAUAUCUAUCAAUUAACCACUUCUUCAGCAAAAUAAUUUUACACAAUCAUCCAUUUGAAUAAAUGACAGCCAUUAUAGAUGUGGAAAAAAACAUGUUUUGUAAUAGCUCGGGUACAACGUUGUUGUGAUGGAGCACUCCUGUACAGUAGGUGGCGGUGUUAAACUUUAAUUGCACAGUCCAGCAUAAUGAUGAAAAGGAAAGAAUCACCGGCUACAAACAAAGCUAGCGAUGUUUCGUUUCUGAUAGGAUUGCCUUCAUUUUAAUAGCAAACUAUAUCCUGUAGAUGAUUAUAAUAUUAUAGAAAACAUAAAGACUGUUUUCAUAUUGAAAAGGGGCCAAAAGCGUCGGGGGACAAUGUCGGGUUCCGUGGUCGAGUUCCAGGCGCAGAUAGCCUCAAUCAUGGAGGUGCUAGCCAACGCGGCUGUAGCCGAAAUCUGCAAAGUUGUUGACGAUGGCUAUGCUGUUGUACACCUGGAGAUGUCCCAAAGCCACAAGGAGAAUGAAUUUCUCCGGAGGAAUAUGAAAUUGAUGGAACUUCAGAUCGCGAGGUUUCGGGCUGAGAGAAAGUUUUCAGAGGGGUCCGUCCACAAUCGCUUCCAUGGAAUACGCCUCCUAAACAGACACAACCAUCGUGAGACGGCAACGACAGGACCUACUUGGCAAAGCAGAAACAGACUUUCCAACAAGAGUUUUGGGAACAGCAGCAUACCAAGAGACAGACAGCCCAUAGACGUGGACCAAGACGAUGUCUCUCCAUCAAAGCAUAUGGAUGCUACAAGUGAUGAGCAGUCAGCAGAGACAGAGGAAGGGGAAACAGACCUGCUGAUCAUCAAGGUGGAAGGAGAAGCAGAUGACCAGGACUCUAGGAUCAGCCACCCAGCUAGAACAGUGGAGGGCAGCAGAGAACUAACCACCCAACCGGCUGCAGCCACAACAGAGGACCCUGCCAUCCAGUCCAGUGGCCCCAGAGGCAACAACAGCAUCCACACUGCUAUGGAGGACAAAUCUACUGUGGAAGGGGAGAGAGACCUCCAGCCAUGGAAGAAAGAAGAUGGUCUGAGGGAGAUGCCAGGCACUGAUAGUGGCCACAGAAUGACAGACCCAAACACACCGACCUCUCUAGACACGGACCAAACAGAGCUCACUGAGCAGCUCAGAACCAAACACAGCAUAGUGACUGUCAACAGAUCAGACAAUGUUUUCAAGUCAGACCCGGAGCCUGAGAGCCUGAGCCAGGUGUUCCAACUCACAGGUCCAGGACCUGUUGCUAAACAGCAGCGCAGCCUAAACUGCGAGAGAACAACCGAUCUGCCUGUAAACUCCCGUAAGCGAAGAGGCAGUGAUAUAGAGAAUGAUCGGCCGUCUUGUUCUAGUUAUGUUGCAGAGACAGUCUCAGGAAGCCCCUCGCCUCUCAAAAAGGUGAACCCCAUUCCCCCACUUCCUCAGAUGGUGAGGGGUGAACACGAGAAUUCCCAGGGCAGUUCAGAGGUCAAGUCUGAGGUCAUAGUUAUUGACCCCCUCCAUGUUGACGAGGGGGAAGAUGGGGAUGGCACGCCCUCGUCCUGGAGACAAGGUGACAUCAUGGAACACGGGCAUCAUCAUGGAGGACAUAGUGAAGCAGAUGCCAUGCUUCUCGGAGGACAUUCGAGUAACGCUUAUCAUCAUCAUCAUCAUCCUCACCCAGGUGUCCAGCCAGCAGCGAGACAGAACUCAUCUGACAAUCACUUUUACACCAUCGGCUUGGAUGGCGCAUUCAACAACCGCCUCGGCACCUUUCAGAACCCCGCAACCACCGCCACUCCAUACGCCACGGGAACCGAGGAGCUGCAGUACCCCACCUGGGUGGAUUUCCCUGGGAGCGCCCCCGACACCCACCUGGGCGACGUGACUGGGACUCAUCAGGACAGAGGGUCUAGGGAGGAGGGGGCGAGGUCCUACAGGUGCAACUUCUGUGAGAGGGAGUACCCUCACCUGUGCCAGCUCAAGAUGCACCAGAGGGUUCACACAGGGGAGAAACCGUACGAGUGCGCCCUGUGUGGGAAGCAGUUCAGCCAGCUGUGUGGCCUGAAGAGGCACCAGAGAGUACACACAGGGGAGAAACCUUUCAGAUGCGCUCAAUGCGGGAAACAGUUCUCUCAUUCCAGCAACCUGAAAGUGCAUCAGAGUGUCCAUACAGGGGAAAAACGUUUCCACUGCACCCAGUGUGGAAAAAACUUCUCCUUUCUGAGCAAUCUGAUAAGACACCAGGCAGUUCACGCAAGGAAAUGAUAGGUUGUAUUGAUUUGUUGUGUUGAUUUAGGAUUGUGUUUUCUGAAUUGAUUGGAAAUUGAAUGAGGUGUGUGAUUGCUCUGGCUAAAUGCUGCAACUCUGAAUUUUUCGACUUGUUAGUUAUACACGUGUUCAACCAGUUAGCAAGUCAGAGGUUUCCCAGUUCCGACAAGCACCUACACGCGGCAUUAAAGGUCGUUACCUGUUCUUUGUAUUCACUAUUAUUUUGUAUUCUGGAGCAAUUUGUAAAACAUUUUUAUUUUUAAGAAUGACUCAAUGUUUGCUGCAGAUUGUUGUUAUAUUAGUUCAACAUACAGUAAGUAUCAUGUUGUCUAUAAAGUUAAACUUUUAUUAUACAACUUCCUACAGUAUUUGUGUGUUUGAAAAUAAUCAGGCCAGAAUAAGAUUGUCACAAGGAACAUGCUUGUGUUAAAGUUAGCGUUUUUUGUGAUGUUUUGAGAAAUAAACCAACUCAUGGGAAAUGAGAUGAACAUAUUUUGUCUUUGAGAAUAAUGCAUAAAGCUUUAUCAUCAGACGGUAAACUGUGAUCUCAGUGUUUACGCCCUCUCCGGAAGUAGAUGGUUUAACCCCGGAAAAGGGUAUUGCUAGCUAGCCUGCCAAGUAAGGUUGGCUUCAUAGCAAUCACAGAAAAAUAAAGUGGUGACAGCUGCAUAGAAGUACGGUAUUUGACAAGAGUUAAAGGGUAUAUUGGGGGGUGGUGUCUCGUCCCCCCAGGCCGUUUGCAUGGUGUACUGUACUACCCGAUAGGAUCAUGUAGUGGCAUGGUAACGUUAGUGGGUUUUUAAUGAGUGUAGGUAGCAGCUGCAGAGAAAGACCUUGGAGUACGAGAUUUUACUGCAGAAUAAGUUUGAGAAAGACCCCUGUUGAUGAACAGCAGGAUGAAGACGAGGCCAGCGGUGCUGAUAUGGAAGAUGAUCCCAUGGACCACAAUGAUCCCACAGGUCAUGAUGAUUACACUCCACUGUUACCGAUGUCAUCGCAAGGACCAUCACAGCCUGUUAAACCAAAGACCACAUCCUCUCUGGUUAAGCUUACGGAAGAUGAGGUGCACCAUUCGAUUGUUCCUGUCAAUUCUCUACUAUCACUCACAAGAUGCACAACCUGCUGCAAAUUGUUCCACUGUCCACUUUGUCUCAGCUUUAAACCAACCAAACGCUCAAGAUUACAGCGCCAUGUUGAUGUGCACAUGAAAAAUGCGGUGUCUUUCAAAGAUAAAAAGAUUUGUAAAUGCAAUUUGGACUGUAGGACAGAUGGCCAUUAUCACUGCCCCCAGUGUGAGAGAACUAUCAUCAGGAGGGAUGCCAUGACAAGUCAUCUGCUGUUGUGUCAAGGGGCUUCAGCUCCUGUUUCAUCAGCUGCACUGCACUCUACGCAUGCUGUACUGCCCACACCUGCUGUAAACCAGCGUAUUAAAAUCACCACCCAUAUCCAACUGCCUCAAAGACCAGCCUAUAGGACUCUGACGACUAUGUGUGAUCACUGUGGCUUUGUGCUCCUGAGAAAGAACUUGAAGCAGCACCUGCUGAGGAAACAUCCAGAGAUAGCCACUCCAUUGGAGGGAGCACAAUCAGAUCCUGUGUCUGUGGCACAACAACACGGCACCAUGAAACAUGCUGAAGGGACCAGGCGGAGACGGAGACUGGCCGCCACCUGCACCAUAUGUGGGCGUACGGUGACCAUGAAGAACAUGCGAGCACACAUGAACAGAAAACACCCUGAUUCCUGGUAGAUGCCUGCUUUGCAAACAGGCAUUAUAGCCUGAUCCCAGAUCUGUUUGUGCUUUUGCCUUUUGUCAUUGAGAAGCAAAACAAUUUGGCCAAGAAAAAGAGUACAAGGAGUGGAAUGUUAGCAAAACAGGUUCUGGAUUUCAGGAUAUAGGCUUCAUGCAUCAACUACUUAAUUGAUGGCUGAAUUCUAUACAUUUUUUUUAUAACAAAUCUUGUACAUUCAUGUUGUAUAUAUUUUUUUACCAUACAAAUGGAGAAAAUUGCAUUUGUUAAUCUGACCCUUCAGUCUAUUGGGUUACGGUUAUGACCUGGCUGCCAGUUCCAUUUCCAAGGCCUGAGUGCUGGUCUUGCAAACAAGCACAACAAACAAUUGGAGAGGAAAACUAUAAACAUUUUGUUAUUUUGAA